AAUCCAUUACUAUAUCUCUAACCAUUAUCGUGUUCCCUCUCCAUUACCUCACCCAGCAACCCACCCAACACUAGUAACAAAACCUUCCCCAUUUAAACUUUCUUGUGUCACUGGGAACGAGAGAUGUGAUAAGGGGUGAAGGGGUGAGCGGGAGAGCUUCGCAGGGGGUAGCGCGGGGGGAGGGGUGAAGAGGGUAUGCUGGAGUGGGGGGAGGGGGGGAGACCUACAUAUGCCUAAUAGUGACUUAACUCUCAUUAUAUAAUUAAGGUGAUGACUAGGUGUGUGGCGAUGAAGAGGCGAUGGGUAGGUAAGUAGGACUCGGUAAAUAUAUAUAUUUUUUUUACAGCAAAGGAGACAGCACAAGGGCACAAAAAAAGGAAACAACAAUAAUAACAACAACAAGACAAAGUGAUUGGUAGGUAGGCAGGAAGGUAAGUAGAUUGGUAAGUACAGGUAGGUAGGUGACACUAACUACUAAAUGUGUGUAGUGAUCCGGAAAAAAAGCGUGAUAGGUAAAGAGUAAAGAUAGACAGAAGGGAGUUAGGUUAGGUCAGGUUUGGGGAAGCUGUUAAGUUAGGUUGUUAGGUCAGGUUAGGUUAGGUCAUGUUAUGUAGUUAGGUUAGGUCAGGUUUGGGGAGGCUGUUAAGUUAGGUUGUUAGGUCAGGAUAGGUUAGGUCAUGUUAUGUAGUUAGGUUAGGUCAGGUUUGGGGAGGCUGUUAAGUUAGGUUGUUAGGUCAUGUUAUGUAGUUAGGUUAGGUCAGGUUUGGGGAGGCUGUUAAGUUAGGUUGUUAGGUCAGGAUAGGUUAGGUCAUGUUAUGUAGUUAGGUUAGGUCAGGUUUGGGGAGGCUGUUAAGUUAGGUUGUUAGGUCUGGUUAGGUUAGGUCAUGUUGUGUAGUUAGGUUAGGUCAGGUUUGGGGAGGCUGUUAAGUUAGGUUGUUAGGUCAGGAUAGGUUAGGUCAUGUUAUGUAGUUAGGUUAGGUCAGGUUUGGGGAGGCUGUUAAGUUAGGUUGUUAGGUCUGGUUAGGUUAGGUCAUGUUGUGUAGUUAGGUUAGGUCAGGUUUGGGGAGGCUGUUAAGUUAGGUUGUUAGGUCAGGAUAGGUUAGGUCAUGUUAUGUAGUUAGGUUAGGUCAGGUUUGGGGAGGUUGUUAGGUUGUUAGGUCAGGUUAGGUUAGGUCAUGUUGUGUAGUUAGGUUAGGUCAGGUUUGGGGAGGUUGUUAGGUUGUUAGGUCAAGUUAGGUUAAGCAUAGUAAAACGUAAAAGACUAAAGAAGAAGAGUAAGAGAAGAAGGAAAAGUAGGAGGAUGUGGAGGAAGAGGAGAAGAAAAAAAGGAAUCAUAACAGCGACAAAAAAAGAUAAAAAACAAAAACAAAACAUAACCAUUAAGACGAAAGCCAAGGUUGAGAGAGAGAGAGAGAGAGAGAGAGAGAGAGAGAGAGAGAGA